UACAGAGGUCUCAAGCGUUGUUCGGAUUCAUUGGGCGUAAAGGGUGCGUAGGUGGCUAGGUAAGUCAGGUGUGAAAUCUCGGGGCUCAACUCCGAAACUGCACUUGAUACUGCCUGGCUCGAGUACUGGAGAGGAGAUUGGAAUUUACGGUGUAGCAGUGAAAUGCGUAGAUAUCGUAAGGAAGACCAGUGGCGAAGGCGAAUCUCUGGACAGUUACUGACACUGAGGCACGAAGGCCAGGGGAGCAAACAGG
rnacentral:rRNA from 1 species